GUUUCUGUGGUUUAAUGGUCAGUCUCUGGAGUCGGAAUCCAGUGCUCCGAGUUCAAGUCUCGGUAGAACCU